AAAUGUCGUAUAUUUUGCACAUACAUUUAGAAUUUCUCUCAAACCUUUCUCUCUCCCCUAUUAUCCAAUUAAUCAUGUUGCUCUCUCAAUCCAGAAACCCUAGGAAGAAAUCUCCAAUUAAUUGGCGCUCUUUCACCAGUUCUCUCUGCCACCAGUUUUCGAUUCCAGCGUCGCCACCGGUUCUUGAUUCCACCAGUUUUCUCCGUCGAUUGCAGCAAUUAACAACCCCUCUCUCAUUCUCAUUGCGUCUUGUGAAGGGUGGCGAUGUCUGCUAUUCAUAGCUCCUCCUCCGACGCUCUUGUGUAUGCAAUUGUUUGCUUUGGACUAUUACAAUGGUUAGGAAAAGGAAGGCAAACGAAGAUCCUGCAGAAGAGGACUGUAGAAAUCGAGUUAUGUUUGUCAUUCAGCACAUUGAGAUCUACCAUACUUUUAAUUGCUUGAAAUUAGGGAAGAAUAAAAACCGUUUAGUGGCAUACCUUUAAUACCCCUUCACGCCUAAUUCCAUAUUUUUUUGUAUAUAUUUAUGAUGCCAUGUGGCAGUUUGUAUAUCAUAGGAUCUCUAUAUCUAGCGGUCAUAAUUAGUGGUAUGUUGUCAUUUGAAUUAGUGUUGUCAUCUUAAUACAACCCUAUAGACAUAUCACUGAAAAAAAAGCACAGAUUAGAAACACAAUUACUAAUGUAGAAUUUUUUUGAAAACCAACCAAAAUUGAAGGUGCAAAAAAAAACACCAAUAAUGUCGAGGACACAAUUGUCCACUAAACCUAAAUCUUUUGUUUCAUAUACGUUUUCAUUUGUGUCCUUUAGUUUUAGUUGAGCACCAACAUUGAAAACACUUUUUAAUAUAUAUAUAUAUAUAUAUAGAGAGAGAGGGGGGUAGUGUUAAUCUCUUUUUCCUCCCUUAGAUUUAAGUUCAUUCUUAAUUGAAACCGUUAGAUUUGAGGGAUGGACGAUCCGGAUGAUAAGCUUACUAAUGAUCCCGUCCUUGCAUUAUUAGGGCCCUUUUGUGCAUUAUAUGGGUAAAUUAGUAAAUGUACAGUACCAAAACCGCCCAAAAUGGAAUGUGCGAAAUUUAAGAGGGAUUUUGCUAUCACCUUCCAUCUACUCCCUCAAUUCAUCACUGCAAAUUGUCUCCCCACAUUCCCAUCACUCUCUAAACCCUAGCCGCCACCUGAAGCAACCGGAAAUCUACAGAGAGACCGCGAUUUUUGGAAGGUUUGCCGUCCAAACAUUAUUCCCGUAGUGCGCGACCAUCUUGUUGAAGGCGACGAAAAGAUACAUUAUGAUAAAGAGAGGCCGACCUUCAAGAUCUCAACCAACGCCGGCUGAAGCAGUGAAGCAGCUUAGAUUGGACAUCGACGAAGCGGUCGAUGAUGUAAUUCCAGUUGGAAUUGCCCAGAAAUUCCGGGAGAGAUUAGCAUAGGCUGGAACAAGUACAACUCAGGAAGAGCUUCCUGAGCAUAGGAAACCAAGGGGGAGGAAGGUCGACCAUCUAUAGAGCUUCAGAUAUGGCCACUAGUGGGGAAGUGUUGAGCAAACUAAAUUGUUGUAUACAAUCAUAACAAAAACAUAUCAGAAAAAAUUAUACAUUAUAGUACAUACAUUGUACAUCACUGAUUAGAUAGAUUACAUUUUACAGUAUUAUUUGUACAUUACA